UGAGUUUGAUCCUGGCUCAGGAUGAACGCUAGCGGCAGGCUUAACACAUGCAAGUCGAACGGUAAUCCCGCAUUCGUGCGGGAACGAGUGGCGGAUGGGUGAGUAACGGGUGUAUAACCUACCUUGUAAUGGGGGAUAGCCCAAGGAGACUUGGAUUAAUACCCCAUAGUGUCAUAUUAUGGCAUCAUUAUAUGACUAAACAUUUAUGGUUACAAGAUGGAUACGCCUUUCAUUAGAUAGUUGGUAAGGUAACGGCUUACCAUGGCAACGAUAGGUAGGGGCCCUGAGAGGGGGAUCCCCCACACUGGUACUGAGACACGGACCAGACUCCUACGGGAGGCAGCAGUGAGGAAUAUUGGUCAAUGGACGCGAGUCUGAACCAGCCAUGCCGCGUGCAGGAAGACGGCCCUACGGGUUGUAAACUGCUUUUAUACAGGAAGAAACACGCUCUACGUGUAGAGGCUUGACGGUACUAUACGAAUAAGGAUCGGCUAACUCCGUGCCAGCAGCCGCGGUAAUACGGAGGAUCCAAGCGUUAUCCGGAAUCAUUGGGUUUAAAGGGUCCGUAGGUGGAUAAUUAAGUCGGAGGUGAAAUCUUGCGGCUUAACCGGAAGCCUGCCGUUGAAACUGGUGGUUUAGAGUCAUUGUGCAGUGGUUGGAACGUGCAGUGUAGGGUGAAAUACAUUGAUAUUGCGCAGAACACCGAUUGUGAAGACAGAUCCACUAAGCAUAUACUGACGCUGAUGGACGAAAGCGUGGGUAGCGAACAGGAUUAGAUACCCUGGUAGUCCACGCUGUAAACGAUGGACACUAGCUGUCCGGCAUAAUUGAGUGCUGGGUGGCUGCGCGAAAGCAUUAAGUGUCCCACCUUGGGAGUACGGUCGCAAGAUUGAAACUCAAAGGAAUUGACGGGGGCCCGCACAAGCGGUGGAGCAUGUGGUUUAAUUCGAUCAUACGCGAGGAACCUUACCAGGGCUUAAAUGUAAGUUGCAUGAUUUAGAGAUAGAUCUUUCUUCGGACCACUUACAAGGUGCUGCAUGGUUGUCGUCAGCUCGUGUUGUGAAAUGUCAGGUUAAGUCCUAUAACGAGCGCAACCCCUAUCGUUAGUUGCUAGCAGGUCAUGCUGAGGACUCUAACGAGACUGCCGGUGCAAACCGUGAGGAAGGUGGGGAUGACGUCAAAUCAUCACGGCCCUUACGUCCUGGGCUACACACGUGCUACAAUGGCCGGUACAAUGAGCAGCCACCCCGCGAGGGGGAGCAAAUCUCCAAAGCCGGUCUCAGUUCGGAUUGAAGUCUGCAACUCGACUCCGUGAAGCUGGAAUCGCUAGUAAUCGGAUAUCAGCCAUGAUCCGGUGAAUACGUUCCCGGGCCUUGUACACACCGCCCGUCAAGCCAUGGAAGCUGGGGGUACCUGAAGUCGGUGACCGCAAGGAGCUGCCUAGGGUAAAACUAGUAACUGGGGCUAAGUCGUAACAAGGUAGCC
rnacentral:rRNA from 1 species